UGCUAUCGUUGGGUUGCAACAACACGUUACACGUUAUCAAGCCACAAACCAAAUUAUAAAAAUGUGAUAGUCGUGUCAACUCUGCUGGCGUCCCUUUAUAUAGAAUCCAUGCUGUUUAGCAGGUCAAUAAAAGUGAGAAUACAAAUUGAAUGAUUAUGGGAGCUUAAAGAGUAAAAAGAGAAACCUGUUCCAAAGUUGUGUAAUGUUGGUUCCUGACUAGCAUUGAUCAUAUUUGAAGCCAAUCCAUGUCAGUUUUCUUGUGCUGGCAAAAUCACAUCAGCAGCAAUCACAGCAUCAUCGGCUGGAUAAACAGCAUCCAUGGCUUAUUCACGAGGACGGCCUUUCAACGGAUUGUCGAAAUGCCUGGCCGUGUAUUCCCGAGCUUAAAGAGCACAGCAGCAGCAGCAGCAGCAGCUUGAAACAGACAAAAAUAAAGUGGGCGGUCUUGUUUUUGUAUUUCGCUGUUGCUGGGAUGACGUCAAUCACGCAAGACCCCACUUGAGUGUCUCUGCGUUGAUCAAUCAACUAUGGCACAGCUUGCGCAGCCCAGCAGCAUGCACACAGCUUCACAUAGCGCCGACGAAUGGGAAAAAUAAGGACGACGAGAGCCUGGACGAAACAGAACGAUCACGAAAAUGGAGGAGUGUGCAGCCAACACACAAAAAAACAUGACGGGACCAGGUCCCGAGCAACAGCAGCAGCACAUUGCGGAAUCAGCCGCCCAGAAAUGAAAAGAUCCCCCCCACAUCACAGCCAUACCAGGAUAUACACAU